GUCCACGCUGUAAACGAUGAGCACUCGAUGUGCGAGGUCUACGACUCCUCGCGUGUCACCGCUAACGCAAUAAGUGCUCCGCCUGGGGAUUACGGUCGCAAGACUAAAACUCAAAGGAAUUGACGGGGGCCCGCACAAGCGGUGGAGGAUGUGGUUUAAUUCGACGCAACGCGAAGAACCUUACCUGGGCUUGACAUCCCCGGACCGCCCCAGAGAUGGGGUUUCCUCUUCGGAGGCCGGGAGACAGGUGCUGCAUGGCUGUCGU
rnacentral:rRNA from 1 species